GUCUCCACUGUCUGCCUAGGGGAAGGAGAGAAAACAACGUAUCUUCAAUAUCUUACUCCCAUUGGUCAAAGUUGGCCCUGUGGGUGUUGGUUUUCUCAUGCUUCCAGGUGAUGAGAACAAGGGUUGUACCCAUGGUCACUAGUCUCUCAUUCUGUGCAUGAGCACGUGCACAGGAGACCAGCCUGGUCAGGGUAGGGGGAUGCCAGAGGAAACAUGAGGUGGGAUCAUAAAGACACAUACAAAGUGUCCUCUGCAGCUCCAAGUUAUGAAACAACUUGGUCAAAUAUCAGCAUUGGGACCAGCAAAUCACACAAAUUAGAACCUUGCACCCAAGCAUCUGGGUAUAGCAGUAGAAACAGCUUGAGGCCCAGGGGAAAUGGAUACCAACCUGAAUUCAUACAGAGUGCAGACAAAUAAGAGAAAACCAGCCCCUCAUGGGGGAAAGAAGGCAUCUGGCUUACUGCCCUUUGAAGUUCAAUUCACCUUUUAAUACCAAGUAAAAGGCCAAGAAAAAGAACUGGAGGCCUUUAAGCAAUUGAGGCAAGAGGUCAGAGGUCCUUGGUCAGUUCCUUGGGAAAUGAGUUUCGUAUGAGAUUCAGGAGAGGAAGGAAA
rnacentral:lncRNA from 1 species